UACGUAGGGUGCAAGCGUUGUCCGGAAUUAUUGGGCGUAAAGAGCUCGUAGGCGGUUUGUCGCGUCUGCCGUGAAAGUCCGGGGCUCAACUCCGGAUCUGCGGUGGGUACGGGCAGACUAGAGUGCAGUAGGGGAGACUGGAAUUCCUGGUGUAGCGGUGAAAUGCGCAGAUAUCAGGAGGAACACCGGUGGUGUAAACGGCUUUCUGGACCAUAACUGACACUGAGGCACGAAAGCGUGGGUAGCAAACAGG
rnacentral:rRNA from 1 species